rnacentral:tRNA from 1 species
GCCUUCGUGGUGUAGUGGUCAACACGUUCGGCGCGUAUUCGAGAGGUCCGUGGUUCGAUUCCCGACGAACGCA